CCUACGGGAGGCAGCAGUAGGGAAUGUUCGUCAAUGGGCGCAAGCCUGAACGAGCGAUGCCGCGUGAGUGAAGAAGGCCUUCGGGUCGUAAAGCUCUGUUGCGGGGGAAAAAAGGCAGCAUCAGGAAAUGGGUGCUGACUGAUGGUGCCCCGCCAGAAAGUCACGGCUAACUACGUGCCAGCAGCCGCGGUAAUACGUAGGUGGCGAGCGUUAUCCGGAAUGAUUGGGCGUAAAGGGUGCGCAGGCGGUCCUGCAAGUCUGGAGUGAAACGCAUGAGCUCAACUCAUGCAUGGCUUUGGAAAGUGGAGGACUGGAGAGCAGGAGAGGGCGGUGGAACUCCAUGUGUAGCGGUGAAAUGCGUAGAUAUAUGGAAGAACACCAGUGGCGAAGGCGGCCGCCUGGCCUGUUGCUGACGCUGAGGCACGAAAGCGUGGGGAGCAAAUAGGAUUAGAUACCCGGGUAGUC
rnacentral:rRNA from 1 species